rnacentral:misc_RNA from 1 species
GCAACUAAAGAGAUCCACCAAGAACAAGAGGCAAAGGGUGAAGAAAUUCUAGGCAAUAAGGUGUUAUUAGAGGAAACUCAAACUGAAGUGUUAUGCAAGGAAAUUGUCAAAACUGAUGCAAGUGAGACAAUUCAAAAGCAGAUCAAUACAGAAAAGGGAAUAGUUGAGAACCUUUACCAACCUGUUGUUGACAAUGUCUCAAGUGAAGAAGCAACUGAAGAGAUUCACCAAGAACAUAAGAUCAAGGGUGAAGAAAGUCUAGGAGAUAAGAUGUUAGCAAAGGAAAUACAGAAUGAAGCUUUAUGCAAGGAAAUUCAAAAGACAGAUGCAAGUGAGACAAUUGAAAAACAUAUCAGCACAGAAAUAGGAGCAGUUGAUAACCUUCACCAAGUUGUUGUUCAGAAUAAGACUGCAGAAGUGCACUUUCCAGAUGAAACAUGGGAAAAAAAUGUUCAGAAGACAGAAGGGAAACCAAUCAUUGAAAAUCAGGGUGAUGAGACAAUAUCUAGAGAUGGUAUAACAGAAGCCACAACUGCAACUGAAAAGAAAUCAACUGAAAAGAAAUUGGGUGCAGAGACAUCACAAAUAGAAGUUGCCACAGGCCUUGCAAAAGCCUCUGAAACCACUAAGGACAUUCAUCAGGAAGAGAGUACCUCUGAUGGAACAUUGGAAAACCAGAGAUUGAGAGAAGUAGAGCUAGAUACAAUCAUUUCAACCGGAAAGAAAGAUGUUCCACAGAUGCUGCAAGAACUAGUUGCAGGAACCACAAAAGUUACUGAAAUAGGAGGUUCACAGCAUGUAUAUGCUACAGAUGUGGAUUCAGAAGUAAAAGGAGUUGAACAUGGAUCAGAUAAUAUAGUGGAUGAGAAAGAUGAAAAAGCAAUUGAGGAGACAGUUUCAAAGGAUUCAACCAAAUUUUCAUUAUUUGACAUGAUGCAGAAAUCCACGAGAGAAAGGCAAGCAGCUGGAGAAUUGACUGAAGCUAAAGAACCAACAGCAACAAAAGAAGAAAUGAAAGUUGAAAAACAAACCGAACAAACAAAAAGGGCAAAAUCUGAUGAAGAAGAAGAAGAGGAAGGAGAGGAGCACAAAAAGAAUGACUCGGGCUCUGAAGCUCCAGUAAUUGUAGAAGCCUCAAGGGGCAUAGACAUUAAGGUUGCACACAAGAAAUCCCAUAACAUAUUAUCUGGUGUUGGAUCAAAGGUGAAGCAUUCCAUUUCCAAGGUGAAGAAAGCCAUUACUGGCAAGUCCUCUCAUCCAAAGCAACAAUCACUAAAAUGAAGUACAAAAUACUAGGUGACAAAAACAAAAUUCAUUCAAAGGGUUGUUCUCAUUUGAUGUUUUGAUUAUAGGAUUAAGGUUUGAAGUGUGGUGUGUGCAUAUAGGUAGCUUGUAAGUACAAAUUCAGAUUCUGCACAUAUAUGUAUAGAGAGUUGAACAUGCCAUGAUUGUAAUGCAUUAUUGUUUGCAAGAAGAAGCUCUACUGUGGAAAA